rnacentral:pre_miRNA from 1 species
CAACUACUCCCUCUGUCCCAAAUUUCUUGUCUUAGAUUUGUCUAGAUACGGAUGUAUCUAAUACUAAAAUGUGACUUGAUACAUCCGUAUCUAGACAAAUCUAAUACAAGAAUUUUGGAAUGGAGGGAGUACUUU